rnacentral:rRNA from 1 species
GAUGAACGCUGGCGGCAUGCUUAACACAUGCGAGUCGGACGGGAAGUGGUGGUUCCAGUGGCGUACGGGUGAGGAACGCGGAAGAACCUGCCCUGGGGAGGGUGACCACAGCUGUAAACGACUGCUAAUACCCCGUGGCCUGAGGCGCAAAAGGAGUAAUCCGCCUGAGGGGGGGCUGGCGUGUGAGUGGCUAGUUGGUGUGGCACUAGCUUACCCAGCCGAUGGUCAGGAGGUGGGCCUAGCUGAUCAUCCGCCUCACGGCGACUGUGCCGCGCCACCGCCUCCGGGAGGAGGCAGUAGUGAGUAAUUCUCCGCGAUCGGAGGCCGCAUGCCGGAGCGCUGCGUCGGGGAUGUAGGCCGUCUACGGGUAGUCAACUUCCUUUCGCGGAGAAGAAGGAAUGACGGUAUCUGGUAAAUAAGCAUCGGCUAACUCCGUG